ACGGAAGAUCCGAGCGUUAUCCGGAUUUAUUGGGUUUAAAGGGAGCGUAGGCGGACUGUCAAGUCAGCUGUGAAAGUUUGCGGCUCAACCGUAAAAUUGCAGUUGAAACUGACAGUCUUGAGUUCACAUAAGGAUGGUGGAAUUUGUGGUGUAGCGGUGAAAUGCAUAGAUAUCACGAAGAACUCCAAUUGCGAAGGCAGCCAUCUGGGGUGCGACUGACGCUGAGGCUCGAAAGUGCGGGAAUCAAACAG
rnacentral:rRNA from 1 species